rnacentral:lncRNA from 1 species
AGUAGGACCUAGGCCCUCCCUCGUGUGUCAAGCCUGAGAGAGUAUGGGCUCCCAAAGUCCAUUAAUACACUAGGGAUAAAUACUGAUCAACUAUCAGAGGCCCCAUAGAUUGCUGAGGCCUCCUCAUUGACACCCACACUCAGUUGGUCUGGAUGUCCCAGCUGUCAGUCUGGGGUUCAUGAGCUCCCCCUUGUUCAGGUGCCUUCUGAGAAAUCAAAAAGACUGAGACUGAGUAUACUCACAUGAGAUACUGGCUGCUUCGCACUACUGCAUCCUUGUAUGAUCUGCCUGAUCCUAGACCCCUAGAGAAAAUUUGUGUGUUCAUACUGUACGUGAACUUUGGAUAAAUAAAUAAACACAUGGAGCAGCUUCCAGAUAAUUGAAAAUGAAUGAAGGACGAAGCAAAAAGAAAACCAUUUCCUCGGGGAUAUGCAGCUAGGGUGGCAGUUCUGGAAUCCUUGCACUUGGGAGGCAGAAAGGAGGAGGAUCGCUUUGACUGCACAGUAAGACUCUGAGUUGUGCAACUAUUCCUGUGGAGAUACAAAUGGAUGUCUAUUCACCUCUGCUAGAACAUCACAUUAGGUCAAAGCCAUGACUCCAUCCAAGUCUCCUUUAAUGAACCAGUAAGCUUAGUGUAACUACUUACAGGAGUGUAGUCCAGGACUCACUUCCAAAGAAGAGGACACAGAGGAAGAUAAAUGGCCACAAGCCCAGAGCAGCAUGGAUGACUAGUUAUGAUCCAUCCCUGCUUGGAUCACACCUUAUGGAAGCUUCGACCUGGUGCUCCCUGUAUGAUUUACAGGCAGUUUUAAAAUCAGAGAGUCGCUUUCUUCCAGAAACCCUUUACCACUUUAAAAAAGCAACCUAUCUGAGAUUAAGAGAGUAUUCAGCAGGUAGAAGCACACACUCCUGGUGCACAG